rnacentral:rRNA from 1 species
CCCUUAGAUGUCCUGGGCCGCACGCGCGUUACACUGAUGCAUUCAACGAGCUUAUAACCUUGGCCGAGAGGCCUGGGCAAUCUUGUUAACGUGCAUCGUGAUAGGGAUAGAUUAUUGAAAUUAUUAAUCUUGAACGAGGAAUUCCUAGUAAACGCAGAUCAUCAAUCUGCAUUGAUUACGUCCCUGCCCUUUGUACACACCGCCCGUCGCACCUACCGAUUGGAUGGUCCGGUGAAGCCUCGGGAUUGUGGUUCUUGCCGCUUUAUUGUGGCGUGACCGCGAGAACUUGUCUAAACCUUAUCAGCUAGAGGAAGGUGAAGUCGUAACA